rnacentral:snRNA from 1 species
GAACUUUGAAAGUCCAUAGACUGCACCUGGAAUGAGACAGGGAAGAGUUGCCUGGCCUCUGUGCACGGACAGCAUAUAAAUUUGGGAAAUGUUCUGCGCUUGU